UACGAAGGGGGCUAGCGUUGCUCGGAAUCACUGGGCGUAAAGCGCACGUAGGCGGAUCUUUAAGUCAGGGGUGAAAUCCCAAGGCUCAACCUUGGAACUGCCUUUGAUACUGGGGAUCUCGAGUCCGGAAGAGGUGAGUGGAACUGCGAGUGUAGAGGUGAAAUUCGUAGAUAUUCGCAAGAACACCAGUGGCGAAGGCGGCUCACUGGCCCGGUACUGACGCUGAGGUGCGAAAGCGUGGGGAGCAAACAGGG
rnacentral:rRNA from 1 species